CAAAGCUUUCGGGCCCAUACCCCGAACAUGUUGGUUAAACCCCCUCCUUUACUA
rnacentral:tRNA from 1 species